CCUACGGGGGGCAGCAGCGGGGAAUAUUGGACAAUGGGGGCAACCCUGAUCCAGCCAUGCCGCGUGUGUGAAGAAGGCCCUCGGGUUGUAAAGCACUUUCAGUGAGGAAGAACGCCUGGUGGUUAAUACCCAUCAGGAAAGACAUCACUCACAGAAGAAGCACCGGCUAACUCCGUGCCAGCAGCCGCGGUAAUACGGAGGGUGCGAGCGUUAAUCGGAAUUACUGGGCGUAAAGCGCGCGUAGGUGGCUUGAUAAGCCGGUUGUGAAAGCCCCGGGCUCAACCUGGGAACGGCAUCCGGAACUGUCAAGCUAGAGUGCAGGAGAGGAAGGUAGAAUUCCCGGUGUAGCGGUGAAAUGCGUAGAGAUCGGGAGGAAUACCAGUGGCGAAGGCGGCCUUCUGGACUGACACUGACACUGAGGUGCGAAAGCGUGGGUAGCAAACAGGAUUAGAUACCCCGGUAGUC
rnacentral:rRNA from 1 species